UGCUUACCAUCAAAUGCUGUGCUGGGGUACAAAGUAGCCUGACACAAGCCUAAGUAAUGAUAUAAUACAGCCCUCCAGCAUGCAGGUGUAUCUAUUCUAUCAUCUAGAGGACAUGCAAAUCACUAACAAAUGCAAAGAAGGAGCUGAUGUUAGAAGAUAAGUAACCUGCACCUGCAAUCUAGAAGGCAAAUCAAGGCCUUAGAAUGACUCUGCCUCUAACUUUGUGUGACCUUUGGCAAGUCCCAUUACUUGGGUGUGCAGCAUACAUAAAAAUGAGUAAACUGUUACUUUACUUGUUCUCUUGAGACAAAUCCAUCUAGUUACAGAAAGCCAUCAACUUAUAGACAAAAUUAGAUUUACUUUCUCUUCAUUAUUUUUCUUUUUUUUUUCUUUUUUAUUUUUCCCAAAAUUUGAUGUCAUUUCACACAAUCACAGAGUUGCCGGGGUUAGAAGAGACCUCUAGAGAUCAUCAAGUUCAACCCUCUGCUAAAGAAGGUUUCCUACAAUAAGUUGCACAGGAAGGUUCCAGUUGGGUCUUGAAUAUCUCUGGAAGAGACUCCACAGUCUUUCUGGGCAGCCUGUUCCAGUACUCCAUAACUCUGACAGCAAGGAAGUUCUCCUUCGUGUUUGUAUGGAACUUCCUGUGUAUGAGUUUCUGCCUGUUGCCCCAUGUUCUAUAGCCGCAGAUUCGCAUUCUACUGUUUCUCUCUGAAUCUCUGUCAUUACAAUCUAUAGUCAGGGGAAUUACGGUAAUUGCUUACAAAAAAAAAAAAAACCUCCUAUGAAAUGAGUACUAUUUGUGUUAAUGUUCCAGUCAUGUGACUUCAUCAAAUUUCUGUUAUGUCAACUAAUUCAUA